UUGGCAGAUGAGCAGAACAUGAUCAGAACAUGAUCAGAACAGCCAACUGUGAUGUCAACCAACCCGUUUUCUAAGCAUACUUCUGGCAAAGAAUCAAUGACAAUAUCACCAUGUUAAAACCUAACCCCAGAGGAGAAAGCUCCAAGAUGCACCAAGACUGUUUCCAUACAGGGAAGCUAACAAUCAGAGCAAUUCCCUAUAAACGUCAAGGUUUCGUGCCAAGUUUACUAAGAGGGGAACCAAAGUUGCUGGGGGUUCUUCAGAUGCUGAUAGGCUUGAUCAUCAUUGCAUUUGGAGUCUUUUUAUUUUCCAGUUUCAAAAAAUUGAACUUUCCACAGUCAAAAGUUCCCAUUUUGUAUACCACAAAAUAUCCAUACUGGGCAGGAGCAUGUUAUGCCACUACAGGAUUUGUUACAAUUAUUAGAUCGCUGUCUGUCCAAAGAAAGGUAAGAAAUAGUCUUUUGGUGAUUCAAAUUAUUUUCAUGAUUUAAUAGUUUAAUGCUUCUUGACCUGAGGUCUGUGAACUUUUUUUUUUUUUGACGUUCUGAUUAUAUUAUUUUUCAAUAUAAUUGGCUUUAUUUGUAAUCCUAUGCAAAAAAAAAAAAA